rnacentral:rRNA from 1 species
AAUGAACGCUGGCGGCAUGCCUAACACAUUCAAGUCGAACGAUACCUUCGGGUCUUUUGUCGCCCGCUUGCGUAGCGCGUGGGAACCUUCCCUUAGGUUCGGAAUAUCUCCCCGAAAGGGAUGCUAAUACCGGAUAAUGUCUUCGUACCAAAGAUUUAUCGCCUUUGGAUGUGCCCGCGUUCCAUUAGCUUGUUCUUAGGGUAAAAGACUGCCAAGGGGACGAUCCACAGCUGGUCAGAGAGGAUGAACAGCCACACUGGGACAGUGACACGGCCCAGACUCUUAAGGGAGGGAGAAGAGGGGAAAAAAGGAAAGUGGGGGAAAGCAUGAUGCAGCAAUGAAGCGUGAGAGAUGAAGGCCUUAGGGAAGGAAAGCUCUUUUACAAGGGAAGAAAAUGACAGUACAGAGAGAAUAAGAUAAGGAUAACUCCGUG